ensembl:lncRNA
AUAUAUAUAUAUAUAUAUAUAUAUAUACACUAAUUGUUUUAGAUGUCUGCUAAUUGUUUUGAGAAUAUAAAACUUUUAAAGAAUUUUCUCUAUGGCUGAGAAAUUCAUACAUUUCUUCCUACAUUUUGUACAUAUUAAAUAGUCAUAGUUAGUCAAAACUGGUGAAUUUCUUUGAAAUGCAAUUAAAGUUACAAAUUCAAAAUUUUAAUUCAACAUCCUGAGUUGCAAUUCCAUUCAAUUUCACAAUCCAAUUAUCAAAUUCUGAAUUUUGCUCAACUUGCAUCAGGCAUUUUGCAAACAAUGUGGAUUAAAUUCAGAGAAGGGAACAAAUAUGUUGAAUACGCUCCAGAAUACUUUACAAAUCCUUUCUGAUUUAAACAGCGGAGAAUAAUCCAGAUCGGCAGGUCAUUUCAGUACAUCGUCCAGUUCAUGAAUGCGUUGGGGUUGUUGGGAAGGAAGGGUGGGUUAAGAGGAAGCCCGGCUGAGCCUCCGAUCUCUCGUUCUAUCAUCACCACACCUAAACACAGUGACUGACUGCACGGCUAGAGGCUAACGCUAACAGAAAGAGCUAAACUAAAACAGUUCAACCCAUCAACAACAUCGAAUCACAGGCCACUUUGACAACAUCUACUGAACUCACACGACCACGACUCCAACCUACGGACUGUGGAUGAUGUCGGUGAGGUCUGAGAACAACGCGCGAACGAAACAGCGAAGGGUCACAAAACCUGAUAUGUUUACUUCACCUCGUCCAGACGAGAUCAGACUCUCAUUUGUCUCCGUUUCAAAAGAAACACAGUCAAACCGGCUGGACGUCACACUCCAUUCAUCACGUGUGCGGGAACACUAGUUUUAUGUCUUAACUAAUUGGAUAAUAUCAUAAUGCUGAGUCCUUACAAGAUGAAAUUAACCACUUACUGUCAUCACAGAUUACACAAAUAAUUACAGAGUGAUGAGCUCUGUUACUGUCUGAUAUAUGAGCACAAUAUAGAUAUAAAGCAUAACUAGCCUCAUUCCAGAGCUGGGUUUGAGUCUCUGCUCUCAGUCUGUUAUGUAAGUCAAGCUCAAUGGAGCAUCAAACAUUCAGCUUUCCACCCAAAGCCUGUGACUGUCUGACAAACCAUCAUUACUAUCAGUGUUUCAGUAGAAGACAACAGCAGUUAUUAUGCAGUUGCUAGGGUGUUGCUAUACGGUUGCUAGGGUGUUGCUAUGCGGUUGCUAGGGUGUUGCUAUGCGGUUGCUAGGGUACCCAGGCCCGUUUCUAGGGUGUUGCUAUGCGGUUGCUAGGGUACUUAGGGCAGUUUCUAGGAUGUUGCUAUGCAGUUGCUAGGGUACCCAGGUGGUUGCUAGGGUGUUGCUAUGCGUUUGCUAGGGUACCCGGUUUGCAACAGCGCAACCUGAAUAUAAUAACUAACUGAUUAUAAGAACUGUAACAUUUACAAAUCUUGUUAGGAGGACUAUUGUAAAAAUUAUCUUUUGGAGUUAUAUAUAAAACAAAGAUUAUUGGAGUGUUUGAAAA